rnacentral:rRNA from 1 species
UACGGAGGGGGCGAGCGUUAUUCGGAAUUAUUGGGCGUAAAGGGCGCGUAGGCGGCUGAACAAGUCAAAGGUGAAAUCCCUCGGCUCAACUGAGGAACUGCCUUUGAAACUGUUCGGCUUGAGGCCGGGAGGGGGUAGCGGAAUUCCCAGUGUAGCGGUGAAAUGCGUAGAUAUUGGGAGGAACACCAGUGGCGAAGGCGGCUACCUGGACCGGUUCUGACGCUGAGGCGCGAAAGCGUGGGUACGCAAACAGG